GACGUAGGGGGCGAGCGUUGUCCGGAUUCAUUGGGCGUAAAGCGCGCGUAGGCGGCUGCGCAAGUCGGUUGUGAAACCCCGGGGCUCAACCCCGGAACUGCAUCCGAUACUGGUGGGCUUGAAUCCGGGAGAGGGAUGCGGAAUUCCAGGUGUAGCGGUGAAAUGCGUAGAUAUCUGGAGGAACACCGAUGGCGAAGGCAAUCCCCUGGACCUGUACUGACGCUCAUGCACGAAAGGCGUGGGGAGCAAACAGG
rnacentral:rRNA from 1 species